UGAGAUACUCCGUUAAUUUGUACUGGAUACU
rnacentral:piRNA from 1 species